CCGAGAGUUACGCUCUCGGGUUGCAUUGUGGGAUUGACAGCGUCGUUGAUGGCGUUCGGAGUCGGAGGCGUCAGAAUUUGCUUUAAAUUGCGGUGCUUUAUGUAAAUGAUGAAUGAAAAGCGUCUGUUUGUGACAGUGUAGGAUUGAGGUGAAUGAUCUACCAUCAGUUAUUAUUCAGUCACGCGCCAAAGAUGCAGUCAAGUGUGCCUGAAGUUCAGAGUCAUCAUAGACGUGCACGUGCAUAGUUGAAGAGAAGGAGGGACGUGUGUUGCCGGUGUGCGGUGGGCAGCGUUAGCGUAGGAUCUGUGGCCUUUCUUAAAAUCAAACCCUUGUUUGUGUUUCCUUUGAUUGAGAACACAUUGGCUCGGACCAAGACCGCUGGGGUACGUCUCUCCGGGUCACCCUGAGCCCCUUCCUCUCCUUAGAACCGCGGCGGGUGCGGGUCGCUUCGGGGGCCGCCGCGUGACCCCCAAAGAGAGGUCCUGCAGGGAAGUAACCCUUCGCUGGCUUCAAAAGGGGGUGACCUGUUUGCCACCAGCCGGCCCUGAUCCCCGACUUGCACCCAAAUACGGCGGCCCCCCUUUGACAGACAGGGCCCGACAAACAUGAGCUCCAGUGGGCUUAAGUUACUGACUACUAACUCAAUGAGAAUGUUAACAAGACGUCAAAUCACAAAAAUAUUGUGUGUGAAUAUGUGAAAUAUCAUCAUUUGGUGUAAAUUGCUCAGCAUGCUGUAUAUAGGCUAUGCCUGAUCUCACAGGAAUUCGUGCAUAUUUUACGAGUUUGUAUGAAUUUGCACAAUUUGUAUCAAAAAAAUGUAAACUCCGCCCCUAAACCCAACAUCACAGAGGGGAAAGCAAAUCGUACAAAAACGUACCAAUUUGGUCGUAUGAAUUGGCUAUGUCGUAAAACGUGUAUAUAUUUAUCCAUAUUUAACCCAACACAGGAUUUUUACAGGAGUGUAUGCAAAUAAAACUGUAGAACGUUUCAAACUGCA